CAGCCGCCACGGUAAUACGUAGGUGGCGAGCGUUGCCCGGAAUCAUUGGGCGUAAAGGGAGCGCAGGCGGGCAUGUAAGUCUUUCUUAAAAGUGCGGGGCUCAACCCCGUGAUGGGAAAGAAACUACAUGUCUUGAGUACAGGAGAGGAAAGCGGAAUUCCCAGUGUAGCGGUGAAAUGCGUAGAUAUUGGGAGGAACACCAGUGGCGAAGGCGGCUUUCUGGACUGCAACUGACGCUGAGGCUCGAAAGCCAGGGGAGCGAACGGGAUUAGAUACCCGUGUAGUCCCUGUCUCUUAUACC
rnacentral:rRNA from 1 species